rnacentral:rRNA from 1 species
UGCGGAAGGGUCAUUG